CCAUCAUUUGCUGACAAUACAAAUCUCCAAUAUUAGUAAACUCUAAAAAAGUGAUGAGAUUUAUAUACAUAGGUUGGAUGAAGAAAGUGAAGAGCGACUAAUACAAAUCUCCAAUAUUAGUAAACUCUAAAAAAGUGAUGAGAUUUAUAUACAUAGGUUGGAUGAAGAAAGAGAAGAGCAUAAAGUAGUGUCAAAUAUGCAUUCAAAAUAUUACUGCUCUGGCCAAACAUAAGUAGAUUAUCUACUGAAUAGAAUAAAGGCGCAUCUGAAAGAAAGAAAAGAAAUAUGACCUCAUCAAAAUCACAUCCUAAAACAAACCUAACAAAGCCAACUCCCACAAUAAAAUGUAUCAAGGGUAAGGCACUAUUUGCUUUGAAUCCCUCUGAAAACCACUAGUAGUAGCAGGCACUCAUACUGAUAUACAUCACAUCAAACAGAUUAAAUGAAACAGACAUAACUUAAACAAACAAUGGAGGUCCAAACUGCAGGAGCACAACUAACUAGAUGCUAGAACCCUAUCCAUCACAGUUAAUAUUCUACUAAGUCUAACAACUGAAAAAGAACUCAUAAGCUCACUCAUUGCGUCACAGUCAAUAUUCUACUAAAGUCUAACAACUGAAAAAGAACUCAUAAGCUCACCCAUUGCAACCUCUGACGAAAUUUCUCAGGAUCAGUUAUGCAUCUACAACUAAAUGAGAUACACCAAACAGAACCAAAUAUACUGAUCUCACAGUUUCUCCCACUGUAUUCAGAAUCUCAAGAUUACAACUAGCAAAGCAGAAACAGUUAAGUCGGUUCUACCAAGAUGUCAUUUUUGGUGUUUGAUUACCAAUGAAUAUUUUCCCAGGGCACAUUUUCCACCAACAUGUGGAAACUGACCUCCCUCCCUCAUGCUCAAAACCAUAUUCCUUUGUGAAUCCUAGCUCAUAUUCCAUAUCACUUGUGGCAACCAUUGCUUAAACAAUACAAUGAUCUUUGAAGCUCAAAAUUUUCUUUAAAACACUAUCCAAUUCUUAUUAAUCCUUAACAAAUAUUUUCUCCUGCAAAUAUUUUCUACUCACCGACCAACUUCCCUGGAGAGCACUUUGCACGAAAGCAUUAAUCUACGGAAGCAUUCACCUUCCUACCGAACACACCAAAUAACAAGUUCUAAAAAAAUCAAAUCAAAACCAA
rnacentral:lncRNA from 1 species